rnacentral:rRNA from 1 species
AGAGUUUGAUCAUGGCUCAGAUUGAACGCUGGCGGCAGGCCUAACACAUGCAAGUCGAGCGGUAGCACAGAGAGCUUGCUCUCGGGUGACGAGCGGCGGACGGGUGAGUAAUGUCUGGGAAACUGCCUGAUGGAGGGGGAUAACUACUGGAAACGGUAGCUAAUACCGCAUAACGUCGCAAGACCAAAGUGGGGGACCUUCGGGCCUCAUGCCAUCAGAUGUGCCCAGAUGGGAUUAGCUAGUAGGUGGGGUAACGGCUCACCUAGGCGACGAUCCCUAGCUGGUCUGAGAGGAUGACCAGCCACACUGGAACUGAGACACGGUCCAGACUCCUACGGGAGGCAGCAGUGGGGAAUAUUGCACAAUGGGCGCAAGCCUGAUGCAGCCAUGCCGCGUGUGUGAAGAAGGCCUUCGGGUUGUAAAGCACUUUCAGCGGGGAGGAAGGCGGUGAGGUUAAUAACCUCAUCGAUUGACGUUACCCGCAGAAGAAGCACCGGCUAACUCCGUGCCAGCAGCCGCGGUAAUACGGAGGGUGCAAGCGUUAAUCGGAAUUACUGGGCGUAAAGCGCACGCAGGCGGUCUGUCAAGUCGGAUGUGAAAUCCCCGGGCUCAACCUGGGAACUGCAUUCGAAACUGGCAGGCUAGAGUCUUGUAGAGGGGGGUAGAAUUCCAGGUGUAGCGGUGAAAUGCGUAGAGAUCUGGAGGAAUACCGGUGGCGAAGGCGGCCCCCUGGACAAAGACUGACGCUCAGGUGCGAAAGCGUGGGGAGCAAACAGGAUUAGAUACCCUGGUAGUCCACGCCGUAAACGAUGUCGAUUUGGAGGUUGUGCCCUUGAGGCGUGGCUUCCGGAGCUAACGCGUUAAAUCGACCGCCUGGGGAGUACGGCCGCAAGGUUAAAACUCAAAUGAAUUGACGGGGGCCCGCACAAGCGGUGGAGCAUGUGGUUUAAUUCGAUGCAACGCGAAGAACCUUACCUGGUCUUGACAUCCACAGAACUUUCCAGAGAUGGAUUGGUGCCUUCGGGAACUGUGAGACAG